rnacentral:rRNA from 1 species
CAGCAGCCGCGGUAACACAGAGGGUGCGAGCGUUAAUCGGAUUUACUGGGCGUAAAGCGUGCGUAGGCGGCUUCUUAAGUCGGAUGUGAAAUCCCUGAGCUUAACUUAGGAAUUGCAUUAGAUACUGGGAAGCUAGAGUAUGGGAGAGGAUGGUAGAAUUCCAGGUGUAGCGGUGAAAUGCGUAGAGAUCUGGAGGAAUACCGAUGGCGAAGGCAGCCAUCUGGCCUAAUACUGACGCUGAGGUACGAAAGCAUGGGGAGCAAACAGGAUUAGAUACCCGCGUAGUCCCUGUCUCUUAUAC